UACGUAGGGGGCAAGCGUUAUCCGGAUUUACUGGGUGUAAAGGGAGCGUAGACGGUUAUGCAAGUCAGAAGUGCAAGCCCAAAGCUCAACUUCGGGACUGCUUUUGAAACUGUGUAACUAGAGUGCAGGAGGGGUAAGCGGAAUUCCUAGUGUAGCGGUGAAAUGCGUAGAUAUUAGGAGGAACACCGGCGGCGAAGGCGGCUUACUGGACUGUAACUGACGUUGAGGCUCGAAAGCGUGGGGAGCAAACAGG
rnacentral:rRNA from 1 species